rnacentral:rRNA from 1 species
ACAAUGAAGAGUUUGAUCCUGGCUCAGGAUGAACGCUAGCUACAGGCUUAACACAUGCAAGUCGAGGGGCAUCAGGAAGAAAGCUUGCUUUCUUUGCUGGCGACCGGCGCACGGGUGAGUAACACGUAUCCAACCUGCCCUUUACUCGGGGAUAGCCUUUCGAAAGAAAGAUUAAUACCCGAUAGCAUAAUGAUUCCGCAUGGUUUCAUUAUUAAAGGAUUCCGGUAAAGGAUGGGGAUGCGUUCCAUUAGGUUGUUGGUGAGGUAACGGCUCACCAAGCCUUCUGAUGGAUAGGGGUUCUGAGAGGAAGGUCCCCCACAUUGGAACUGAGACACGGUCCAAACUCCUACGGGAGGCAGCAGUGAGGAAUAUUGGUCAAUGGGCGCUAGCCUGAACCAGCCAAGUAGCGUGAAGGAUGAAGGCUCUAUGGGUCGUAAACUUCUUUUAUAUAAGAAUAAAGUGCAGUAUGUAUACUGUUUUGUAUGUAUUAUAUGAAUAAGGAUCGGCUAACUCCGUGCCAGCAGCCGCGGUAAUACGGAGGAUCCGAGCGUUAUCCGGAUUUAUUGGGUUUAAAGGGAGCGUAGGUGGACUGGUAAGUCAGUUGUGAAAGUUUGCGGCUCAACCGUAAAAUUGCAGUUGAUACUGUCAGUCUUGAGUACAGUAGAGGUGGGCGGAAUUCGUGGUGUAGCGGUGAAAUGCUUAGAUAUCACGAAGAACUCCGAUUGCGAAGGCAGCUCACUGGACUGCAACUGACACUGAUGCUCGAAAGUGUGGGUAUCAAACAGGAUUAGAUACCCUGGUAGUCCACACAGUAAACGAUGAAUACUCGCUGUUUGCGAUAUACAGUAAGCGGCCAAGCGAAAGCAUUAAGUAUUCCACCUGGGGAGUACGCCGGCAACGGUGAAACUCAAAGGAAUUGACGGGGGCCCGCACAAGCGGAGGAACAUGUGGUUUAAUUCGAUGAUACGCGAGGAACCUUACCCGGGCUUAAAUUGCAGUGGAAUGAUGUGGAAACAUGUCAGUGAGCAAUCACCGCUGUGAAGGUGCUGCAUGGUUGUCGUCAGCUCGUGCCGUGAGGUGUCGGCUUAAGUGCCAUAACGAGCGCAACCCUUAUCUUUAGUUACUAACAGGUUAUGCUGAGGACUCUAGAGAGACUGCCGUCGUAAGAUGUGAGGAAGGUGGGGAUGACGUCAAAUCAGCACGGCCCUUACGUCCGGGGCUACACACGUGUUACAAUGGGGGGUACAGAAGGCAGCUAGCGGGUGACCGUAUGCUAAUCCCAAAAGCCUCUCUCAGUUCGGAUCGAAGUCUGCAACCCGACUUCGUGAAGCUGGAUUCGCUAGUAAUCGCGCAUCAGCCACGGCGCGGUGAAUACGUUCCCGGGCCUUGUACACACCGCCCGUCAAGCCAUGGGAGCCGGGGGUACCUGAAGUACGUAACCGCAAGGAUCGUCCUAGGGUAAAACUGGUGACUGGGGCUAAGUCGUAACAAGGUAGCCGUACCGGAAGGUGCGGCUGGAACACCUCCUUU